UACGUAGGUGGCAAGCGUUGUCCGGAUUUACUGGGCGUAAAGAGCGCGCAGGCGGUCGUUCAAGUCGCGUGUGAAAGCCCCCGGCUCAACUGGGGAGGGUCACGCGAUACUGAUCGACUCGAAGGCAGGAGAGGGUAGUGGAAUUCCCGGUGUAGUGGUGAAAUGUGUUGAUAUUGGAAGGAACGCCAGUGGCGAAAGCGACACACUGGGUCUCAACUGACGCUGAGGCACGAAAGCCAGGGGAGCAAACGGG
rnacentral:rRNA from 1 species